UACGUAGGGUGCAAGCGUUGUCCGGAAUUAUUGGGCGUAAAGAGCUCGUAGGCGGUUUGUCGCGUCUGCUGUGAAAACCCGAGGCUCAACCUCGGGCCUGCAGUGGGUACGGGCAGACUAGAGUGCGGUAGGGGAGAUUGGAAUUCCUGGUGUAGCGGUGGAAUGCGCAGAUAUCAGGAGGAACACCAAUGGCGAAGGCAGAUCUCUGGGCCGUAACUGACGCUGAGGAGCGAAAGCGUGGGGAGCAAACAGG
rnacentral:rRNA from 1 species